CGGCUGAUUGGAAGAUUCUAGGAUAAUCCUGGGUGACUGGGAGAAAAGGGCUAGCUGGGCUGAUUGGCUGGCCCCCUUCAUGGCAGCAUGUUGAACCGAAUCUUCGGGUUCGUGGAGGCAGACUGCGGAAUUGGAGGCAGGAUUCACCAAGACCGCAGAGAUUGAUUUGACGCGGUUUCCGACUUCGGUUGGAGGCAGAGUAUCGGUUGGUUAGCUAAUGGAUGCUCGUGGAGGAGGAUCGAUCAAAGCAAACUGUAGACUUGGCCGCGAGGGGCGAAUUAGGAGCUGCCCCGUGCCCGGUUGAAUCAACAAUCGGGUCGUUUGAGCCUUCGGGUUCAAGGGAUGGAGUGAGGAUUCGAGCCUGCUCCAGGCGAGAAUCCAGUCAUAGUUACCCGCCGGGUAAGGGUUGCCACUAUGUCAUCAGCACGGUGUGAACCAAAAAUUGGUCGGUAACGACCAUCCGGACGAAAUCCGCCGAAAGGUGGGACAAAGCCGGGGUUAGCAUUGGGAUGGCCACGUGUUCCAGACGAGAACCGUGAAAACCAUCCGCCUGGGCGGCGAUGCGACAAACCGCAGCGCUGCCAUGCAAGACAAGAGCAACCUGAGAGGUAAGAGGCGAGACCCGUCGCACGGGCCAACGCACCGUCAAAAGCGGUGGCCGACCUUGUGCUAGGGAGUGAAGAGGCAGACAACUUGCAAAUGUCUCUUUUCCAGGUUUGGAGGUCCGGGGCUGCAACCCCGAGCCAAAGAGCAAAUAAGCCUCACUCGAUAAUUCAGGAUCGCAAGACCCUGAACGGCCCCGCCAUGAGGCCGACAACUCCGCAUGUCACGGAGAGUGGCGUCGGGGAGUCAUCGACCUGCGAUGCGGGUGCCUAACGGUGGCGACUGGGAAAGAGAGCGUGGCGAACUCC
rnacentral:ncRNA from 1 species